rnacentral:rRNA from 1 species
CCUACGGGUGGCAGCAGUGGGGAAUAUUGGACAAUGGGCGAAAGCCUGAUCCAGCCAUGCCGCGUGUGUGAAGAAGGCCUUCGGGUUGUAAAGCACUUUCAGUGGGGAAGAAAGCCUUGGGGCUAAUACCCUCGAGGAAGGACAUCACCCACAGAAGAAGCACCGGCUAACUCCGUGCCAGCAGCCGCGGUAAUACGGAGGGUGCGAGCGUUAAUCGGAAUUACUGGGCGUAAAGCGCGCGUAGGCGGUCUGAUAAGCCGGUUGCGAAAGCCCCGGGCUCAACCUGGGAACGGCAUCCGGAACUGUCAGGCUAGAGUGCAGGAGAGGAAGGUAGAAUUCCCGGUGUAGCGGUGAAAUGCGUAGAGAUCGGGAGGAAUACCAGUGGCGAAGGCGGCCUUCUGGACUGACACUGACGCUGAGGUGCGAAAGCGUGGGUAGCAAACAGGAUUAGAUACCCCAGUAGUC